rnacentral:rRNA from 1 species
CCUACGGGUGGCAGCAGUAGGGAAUAUUGCUCAAUGGGGGAAACCCUGAAGCAGCAACGCCGCGUGGAGGAUGAAGGUUUUCGGAUUGUAAACUCCUUUUGUUAGAGAAGAUAAUGACGGUAUCUAACGAAUAAGCACCGGCUAACUCCGUGCCAGCAGCCGCGGUAAUACGGAGGGUGCAAGCGUUACUCGGAAUCACUGGGCGUAAAGAGCGCGUAGGCGGGAUAGCAAGUCAGAUGUGAAAUCCUAGGGCUUAACCAUAGAACUGCAUUUGAAACUGUUAUUCUAGAGUAUGGGAGAGGUAGGUGGAAUUCUUGGUGUAGGGGUAAAAUCCGUAGAGAUCAAGAGGAAUACUCAUUGCGAAGGCGACUUGCUAGAACAUAACUGACGCUGAGGCGCGAAAGCGUGGGGAGCAAACAGGAUUAGAUACCCCAGUAGUC